rnacentral:rRNA from 1 species
UACAGAGGUCCCAAGCGUCGUUCGGAUUCACUGGGCGUAAAGGGUGCGUAGGUGGCCAGGUAAGUUUGGUGUGAAAGCUCGGAGCUUAACUCCGAAAAGUCAUUGAAUACUAUCUGGCUGGAGGGUCGGAGGGGAGACUGGAAUUCUCGGUGUAGCAGUGAAAUGCGUAGAUAUCGAGAGGAACACCAGUGGCGAAGGCGAGUCUCUGGACGACACCUGACACUGAGGCACGAAAGCUAGGGGAGCAAACAGG